rnacentral:rRNA from 1 species
CCUACGGGUGGCUGCAGUGGGGAAUAUUGCACAAUGGGGGAAACCCUGAUGCAGCGACGCCGCGUGAGUGAAGAAGUAUCUCUGGACGUAAAGCUCUAUCAGCAGGGGAGAAAAUGACGGUACCUGACUAAUAUUCCCCGGCUAACUUCGUUCCAGCAGCCGCGGUAAUACGUAGGGUGCAAGCGUAAUCCGGAUUUACUGGGUGUAAGGGGAGCGUAGACGGCAGCACAAGUCUGGAGUGAAAUCCCUGGGUUUAACCCUGGAACUGCUGUGGAAACUGUGCGGCUGGAGUGCAGGAGGGGUAAGCGGAAUUCCUAGUGUAGCGGUGAAAUGCGUAGAUAUUAGGAGGAACACCGGUGGCGAAGGCGGCCUACUGGACUGUAACUGACGUUGAGGCUCGAAAGCGUGGGGAGCAAACAGGAUUAGAUACCCGAGUAGUC